UCUAAAAACUAAGGCCUUUGGCUAAAUUGACACGUGUUCUGUAUUUCAAUAAUCCACUCAUUAUUGGAAAUGGUUCCUUUCAGGUUGUCAGUUUGGACUGCCUCUUAUCGUCAUUAGUCUCAUCAACUACACUUCAUUUGUGAAGUUUGCUACUUUUGAUUUUUCUAUUUUUCCCUAAUAAGAAAAUUACAAGUUCCUUUUAAAGAGCUGGAGCUGUUUGUUCCAACACAUCACGUGGAAGCUUUAGAAGCACGUUACCUCCCCACCCUGUUACAGAGCUCUGACGUGAUGGGCCCAGCAUACCUCCUGACUCUGGUACCAUUAAAAUCAUCCUGAUGGAAGUCAGUGUGCAGCUAGUGUGCGACAGCAGCUUCAGGAACCCUUGGUGAAAUGAUGCUGUUGUAGAUGGAGAGGUACAUCCCUGCUAAUCCAUCAGUGACCACCACGGACCACAGAGUGUUAAGCAGUUCUUAUGAAAUGGGAUGCAGGGAUUCUUUUCAGCAUCAAGUUCCUGUUUAGUGAAGAGAGCCUCUCUUGAGAUAUGCUGCUUCUGGUAGAUUGAUAGCUGCAGUUCGAAGAUAGCAGCCCCCUUGACAUUUACUUGGGAAUACCUAAAGGGCUGGAGAGAGACACACACAAACAAGGUGGCGUUUGUUUGUGUGUCUUCCAGCUGUACAUAAGGAAACAGUCUUGAAGAGCUGGGAAACCUUGUCCAAAAGGUCAGCCACAGAGAAAACUGAAGAAGUUGCAGUCUUUCCAGAAGCAUAUGAAAGCAAACACUCAGGCCAGCCCAAUGUUAAUGAAUCAGGGAUUAUUUUAGAAGGAAGCCGUGCCUCCUCCAUCUCUUAUCCUCAUCCUGUGGCCUGACUGCCUAAUACCUCCAUCAAUAAAGUGUUCACUACAGUGGCUCUGAUGUCAACUGAUCAACUUAGCAUUUAAGGUCAUGCAUUAAGAACCACUGCUGAUCAAAAUUUUCAUAGUAAUUACAUGAAUUUUAUUUACACAAAACAUGUCAUUCACACAGAAAAUGUAUGUGCCCAGUAUGGAUUUUGUAAUGGUUGCUUUUCCAUUUUUCUGUGCCAUCUUUGCCCUGAACAAUGUGUGUAGCCUUGAACAUUGUAAGAUAGUGGGGGGUUUCUAACAGAGAUAUCUACUUUUAAUGCAACCAUAUACUGCCGCAAACCUAGUUCACAUCAGCUGAGCAUGCAGUGAAUGCAAAAUUCAUCCCACUUAGUUCUCACACUAAGGGAAAAUGAAACAAUUCCCUCAAGCUUUGUAUAAGCGCAAGGCAGCAGGGCUGUAUGGCACAACCCUGGUACGAGGAGAUAGUAACAGGUCCCAGCAAGGCCUGAGGAGCAGAGUGACUGAAGAGGACAGCUUCCAGCCUCUGACUGUGGUGGCUUUCCUUUUCCCACAGCAAGGAAAGUGAGAACAGCACACAGCCUCCCACAGAAGUAUCAGACCAACCACUUCGACCACUCUUGAAGUAAAUAAUAAGCAAAAGCGGAAUGCCAGGCCUUAUUUGUCAGUAUGUUUAAUGUGGUGUGCAUGUGUCAGAUGAAAUCUUAGCCAACAAGAUUUGUUACAAUACAAAUUGUAAAAUACAACCACCACCCAAAAUGGGUCUGUAUUAAUAAGGUAUAGAAAUGCUAGGGAGAGAAAGGGAUGGAGAGUGUAGCUAUGUGGCAGAGAGAUAGCCUAGCAUGCACAAGGCCCUCAGCUCAAUCUCCAAUACAGAAAAAUAAUAUUUAGCACAGAAAUGCUCUGCUAGUAGUGAUUCACCCCCCAACUGCCAGGGAUAUCUGGCAAUGUCUAGAAACAUUUUUUGUUGUUCCUUUUGGAGGAGGUGAAGCUGCUGGAGUCUACAGGGACAAUUCUGAAUGUGAGGAACAGGACAGCCCUGCCACCAAAGCUAUGCAGUCCAAAAUGUCAAGUAUACUGACCUUAGAGAUGUUAGAGGGAGAAACAGGGCAAUGGGGGAGAAAGCCGGAUUGGAUUUACAAUCACAGAGUGAAAGAUUUCCUGGCUAGAAAUUGUGGUAAGCAAAGGAUCUUAAUAUUGUUAGGGUGACUGAAACACGUUUGUAUCCUUCAUAGUUUUGUGCACUUUUGCUUCAGAAAUUAAAUAAAAUUCCAAGAAUAUAGCAUUUUGACCACUUAUUAGAUACCAGACACUAAAUGCUUUGUAAACAUCGUCUUUAGUCAUUUCUGCUUGAUGGACUUCAUACAAUUGGGCCAUUUUAAGUAAGAUAGAAGUUUGACUGAAAAUGACUGGGUGACAUGACAAAGAUGUUUCUGUAAACAAACAAAUACCCUUUCCUAUUUUUCACAUGGAAUUGUAGACUAUAUCUUCUAUUCUGUCUAGUAGUUAAUUAGGAUUCUGUGACAUCUCUGGCCAAAAGAAUGUAAGGAAACUCGGGUAUCCUCGUCCAGAAUUACCCUUAAAGCUUUGUGCUAUUAAACUCCACCCCAUCUCUCAGACGCAGAGGAUCUAGGGAACUUAGGGAAAGGCCUAGAGAUUUCCUGACACCUGUGUAGAGCAGGCCCUUACCCGACAACUGUAUGGCUAGAAAAAUCCAAAAGACAAAUGACAACAACAACAACAACAACAACAAAAGAGAUUAUGUUUAGGGUUGUUUCUGUCAUUCAGUAGUGUGCCCUGGUAAAUAUAGCAACUUUAAGAGAACUUGAAUUUAAAUCCAUGUUUUUCUGAUCCCCAACCCCCAUUCAGAACGCUUGCAUUGUUAUAAGUGAUUAUCAACCAUUCUGGAACAAGUAAAAUUUAUUUUUAAGAAGUGAAUGUAAAAUGUUGUCUAUGAUUCUUCUCUUUAUUUAGGGUAGAAAAGUCAACAUACAUAAAAAUUAUUGAAGUUUCUCAUUAUGGUGAUAAAAGCUGCUAUAAAUAUAUUUUCCUGAAACACAUCAAUAGUUUAAAAUGUUGCAAGCAGAUAAAAAUAUUAUUUUAUGAUUACCAUCUGAAUAUAUACCAGUGUUGACAUGCUUUUCAGAUAUUACCUAGAUGUUUAUUCAUUGUUCAUCUUUCCAAACACAAACACCAGACAAAUAGGGUACAAAGAUUCCAGUAAUAAAAAAGGAUAGAACUUAAUCAAUGCGUUUUACCUGUUCCCCUUCUAGAUCAAAGUUAACUGCUCUCUCUUGAUAAAUGGCCAAGGUCACCAACUAGAAUGAUAGCCACUGCAUUUAUAAUCUGGAAAAUGAAGGGAAUUCCUCUUGUAAGGCUGUGACUUGUAGGCACUAGAUUGAGAAUUCUUUAAUUUAAAGGAGAAAGCACUCAAUUUUAUAAGAAUGCAUGUCAGUUCCUCCAUCUAGAGUAGGUUUCCCAUAUUUACUGAGUAAAUCUGGAUAGUAUAUUGCUACAGAAUGGCAAGAACAGGACAGAAUGAG